rnacentral:sRNA from 1 species
CCAGGCUAUGUCAUGUCAACAGACACAAUUCGGCAGUCUCGAGGGGGCCUAGGCGGGUGGCGCACCAGGCGGGAGUCGGCCACACUCCCAUCCAUGCUUAUUAGUUAUUAGUUAUGCCGAUUGCGAUUCAUUGUGCAUCGAAUCCCCCGUGGGGUGAAGGUGAAGAAUGCGAGUUGAACGCUCAUGCGUGGAAAAUCGCCACGUGAGAAGGAUAAAACGCACUCGAAUAAUAUCUCAGAGAUGGGUUGGGUAAGGUUCCCCCCACCUUACCUUAAGGAUUGAUCCACCCCGUUCCGAAGCAAACCCGUGCAGUGCAUGGACUUUCUCAGCAGUGGAGGGGCAGAGGGUUGGUUCAGAUACCUGUCAGUCAAGGAGUAUACACCCAUUCAGAUGGGGAAAAGCAAUUGUUGCUGAUAUUAGCAUGUAUGGAGUUUUCGACAGAUUAGGGAUUGAGUCUCAUGGGUAGCUAGCCGAUUGUAGCAACUCGAUUUGGAAUGGAGAUGUAUGGAGAUGUAGCGGGCGCCUAGAAUCAGAUACAGCCAGAUUUCUCCAGACACUGGCACUCUUAUCACGGUUUUGGACAGAAUUCCAGCCGCCCCUGCUGUAUACUCCGUGAAGAGUUGGCAAAAUGGCCGCAGAACAUGGACGUACUAGUACAAUAACUAC